rnacentral:rRNA from 1 species
UACAGAGGGUGCAAGCGUUGUUCGGAAUCAUUGGGCGUAAAGCGCACGUAGGCGGCUUCAAAAAGUCGGAUGUGAAAUCCCCUCGGCUCAACCGAGGAACUGCAUCCGAUACUGGCGGGCUUGAAUCCGGGAGAGGGAUGUGGAAUUCCAGGUGUAGCGGUGAAAUGCGUAGAUAUCUGGAGGAACACCGGUGGCGAAGGCGGCAUCCUGGACCGGUAUUGACGCUGAGGCGCGAAAGCUAGGGGAGCAAACGGG